UUUUCCUGGCUUUAGCUAUUGACGGGACCUCCAUGAGGGUCCAGUGCUGAAAGACAGCGUCAAUGCGAACCAGGGAGGCGGAGAGACCAUCAAUAGUGGCCGGUCACUGAGCGCUGUGCCCCAAAGGGAAAGAAAUGUCCAUUUGAUUCACCGCUGGAGAGGAGAAGAGAGCAGAGGAGAUACUUUAAUCUGCGGGAGGAACAACCUUGAUCUGUGCCAUGAAGCCAAAUAUCCAGAAGUGAAGAAAAAAGAAAUCCCUGGUGCACACCUGCUUUGGGGAUGUUCACUGCCAUUCAUCAGCUUGGUCCUAUUUCAACAUCCACGCGAGAGAAAAAGAGGAUUUAUCAUGAAUUAUACUCCAUCUAGGAGGAGAAAGUGU